rnacentral:tRNA from 1 species
GGAGGUGUAGCUCAGUGGUACAGCACUUGCCUAGCACGUGCGAGAUCCUGGGUUCUAUCCCCAGCACUGCAA